CAAACCUGAUGGGUGGGAUUCUGUGUGGCUUGACUGUUUUGCUUCUAAUGGCCAUCAUUGGUCUGGCUGUAACAGUCAGGAAUCGUCACAAAGCUGAUGAAGACAAAGCUCCUCAAGCAAGCGAGAUCUAUGCAACAGUGAAUUUUGCUCGAAAUGGAAGAAGAAGAAGAGAGCUGGAGCCAAAUGUUAUUCAGAUAGACUGAACUGCAGCUCAGUGUGAAACUGAUGCCUCCUUAAUCUGCUGCUUGUAUGAUUCUUGUGGUUGGGGCUGUUACCAUUAUAUUUGUUAAAUGAUCGUCAUUUUACAGUGAAGAUCCUUUUCUGUCUGAAGUGAAUGUGAUUGGUGUUGAAGGAGGAGGAAUAAAGACAUUUGUGUGUGUCCACAGUCUCUGAUAGUGAGAGUCAAAGUGAGCAGCAGUGGAGGAGAGAGUGAGAACAUCUCACUGGUCAGACAGGAAGAGACAACACAGUGUGGUCUGAGGACAGCUGAGGUGGAAAUCAAGAGGCCUGUUAGCUCAAAGCUUUGUAAGUCUGAACGGAAGCAGUGAACACUGGCUGACUUUUCUCAGCAUAUACAUUUGUGUAGAUGCUUGUAUGUAACAUCACUGUGGAAUUUGGAUGUUUUUGUUGAUGUAAUUGUGCUGCAAUUCUGAAUAAAAAUAGAAUUUAUUUUAAAA